rnacentral:sRNA from 1 species
GCUGGGCGAGGUGGUGCAUGCCUGUAAUCCCAGUGGCUCAGGAGGCUGAGGCAGGAGGAUUUCACGUUCAAAGCCAGCCUCAGCAAGGGCAAGGUGCUGAGCAACUCAGUGAAACUCUAUCUCUA